CCUAGACUGGCUGAGCAACAUAUUUUCAGGCAGGCCUUCAGGCAACAUGCAUGGGUAAUAACUGUAGAAUAAAGCAAUUUAAAAUGGUUGAUCUGUGCUGGUACAAAGCUUCCACAACAGCGUACAAUAUAACACUAUGAUAUGUUAUAAAAGUAAUUUUAAGCAUAAUAUGUAUAUAUAUGUAUUUUAAUAACAAUAUAAACGUUUUUUUCAACAAAGUAUACGCAUUAGCUUACCAUGGAAAAUGAUUAAUGAAAAUCUUUUAUUUCCUGUACAAG